AGUACCAUUGUUCAUUCAUCUUUCUUUGUUUAACGCAAGGAAAAGGCAAUGGCUAAAGUUUUCUUUGUCACUUUUGUUCUAUUAGUUUUGGUCCUUUCUCCUGCAAUCGAGAUGUCUAAUGCCACUAGAGUGGGCCGCGAAUUGCUACAAAGCAUACCGAAUUGCCCAAGAUGCGUAUGUUGCGCUCCUGCUCCAUCACCAGAUAAAUGUUGCCCUUGUGCGUGCCCACCACAUGGGACUUGAAACAUGUUCCAUAUAAUUUGUAAAAGUGUGUGUUAUAAACAAAUAAUAGGUUAGCUAGCGAGCUAAUCUACUAAGCAUGUUCUUAAAGUUUCAAUAAUAACUUUGUGAAACAAAUAUAUACACAUAUAUUUGUAUUUUGUGUUUAUUCUCUUUGAAACCUAAAUAAAACAUAAUAUUUUCUUC